rnacentral:tRNA from 3 species
GAAGCAUAGCUCAGCUGGGAGAGCAUCUGCCUUACAAGCAGAGGGUCACAGGUUCGAUCCCUGUUGUUUCC